GUAGUUUAAUAUUUAUGAGACGGAUCAGGAUAAAGAACGAACCGUGAUUGAUGAAGAGACUUUUGUUUCUAAAAGUUUGAUCAGACUCGAAACUGGAAAACUACAGGCUCAGCUGUGAUGUGUACAUGUAAAAGCGUACAGUACAUUGUACACAGAAACAUUCACAAUUCGUAAAAUAGAGAUUAUAAAAUAAAUCAAUUAUUGUAAAUGAUAAGAGAUACAUACGCAUGUUUUACAAAUAAAUCUUUCUUACCUAAUACCUAUGCAAUAAAAAAAUGUAAAUAUAGCUGUCUGUUUCUAUCAUAUGUAUUCUUACAGGUUGAAAAAAUAAAGUCACUGCUUAGCA